UAAACUUGUGUGCACGUUUCAUGAAAUUCUUCGCCUUCGAAGUUGUUCCGGGAACAAAGAUUUGAAAAAUCUGAAGCGAAAAGUCUCCGGGCAUUUUUAUCUGGGACGAACCGUUGAAGAGAAAUUUACUGAUUUUGUGGACAGCCAAUGGGACGCUGCGACGCCGAAGCUUCGGCGGGCCCCGCCCAUCACGUGGUCAUGCGCUCCUUCCCCCUCCACGCGACCCCCCAACGCAGCGUGGAGCAACGAAUAUCUCGAGAACUACGCAGCGGACAGAAAAAUCAUCCCCCCAGUCAGAAGAGCCUGGAGUAACAAAAUGUUCGUCAUGUGUGACCGACGCUCUUGACAUGUGGGUCAAACUCGCGACGUAUACGACGUGUGCGCGCGCCCACCACCUGGAGCCUCGGACUGUACUUCUUUAUGUUGCAGGCUCCAAGUCCGGAGCGUAAGCGAGCGAGCCUUUCUCGAAGCACGGGUUUGUAAGAAAAUUGAUAAAGUGGGUCAUGUCGAGGUGAGAUAUUUCGGGGACAAUUUUACAUCGUAAAAUGUUUGUUUAGUAAAAAAGUGUUUGAUUUUUUGUUACAAUUUAAUUAUGAAAUGAAGCGAAUGAUAAUAAAAAUAAUUCGGUGAAAAAUUUAUCCCCAAAAUGGUGUUUUCUCUGUACGAAAGAGUGAGUAAAAAAUGAGGUUGUUCUCUUUUGGUUCUCGGUUCGCUUUGGUAAAUUCGAGCUCAAGAUUAAACUUUUUAACGAGAACAUAAAAUCCCGGGCACGUGUACACGCGUGCUCGUGUUUUUUGGCGAAUAAUCAAGAAAUAAGAAAAGCACAUGGACGCCGAGGAGUAAUGGGACGAGGAUGUUGAUGACAUUGUGGCGUGUGGGGCAUAAUGAACGUGCUCUUAAGAAUCCUGCGUACACGAAGACGAAUAAAAAGUAAAACAAAGCCGAAGAAGAGGAUGAAGUGAGGCAUCGAGGCUACGGCCCAGAAAGCAGAGACUGAGAGUCCCCCUCCGGGGCAUUAGCGAGCUCAACAGGCCCACUUUGCGUGGGAGCAUAUCGCCCAAGGACUUGGCUUCGUACCUACGCCUCUAUAUGCACUCUCGAGACAUGGAUAAAUGACUGUUUAUAACUCCUCUUCUGGGUAUGCGUGCCUACAAAAUAAUGAAAACAUUGAGAAUGUCAUUUUAUUCAUUGUAGUAGCCUUCGGAAUGGGAAAAAAAUGAUAAAAUUUUGAGUAUUCCAUUGGAAGAUAUCGACAAGAUGGAAAAAUCGUGAAUACAAGCAAGUGGGUUAAAAAUAAUUCAUUCACAAAAUAUCGAGAGUUGAGAUGCGGCGAGCCCUGGCUUGGAAUUUCGGACGCCUUUUUCCCUCAUCGCGCCACGAGCGUCGACCAAGAGCUGAAAAUUGCUGUGGAAGUUUGUCUACCCUGAUUUUUCGGAUACAACUCAUUCUCACAGUCAACUUGCAUCGCGCGCAGCUGCAGUGAUUUGAAUUUAGAGUAUCCACUAUCGUAAAAAUGCUUCUGGAAUCGCGCUUUGUCCGUUGGCGAUGAAUCAACGGUACAUUGGGCGUUGAUCCUCUCUCGCUUUCCCUCUCUCUCUCUCUCUCUCUCUCUCUCUCUCUCUCUCUGGCUCUCCCUUUGUUUUUAGGACACGAAUUUAUCUCGUGAGGAGAUCAGAGGAAAGCCUUUGGAACACGUGCUCUUCCCUUUUGCACAUGACUCCGCAAUGGCGAUUUCGUUCUUCAUCCAAGCAUUUUGGAAUCUCAUAUAAAACGCUACGAUUUUCUGUGAUGAAAGGGAAAUUAUGCAACGGGGCGUUAAUUCACGGGCGCGUUUCUCUGCCACUGAGCGCGUGAUUCGAGACGCGCGCGGAACGAAACGAACCGAAGAGGAGCAUAUAUUUGGACGCAAUGACAAAUGCGCUUGGUCAAAUUCGGUUUUGAUACUUUCUCGACGAAGUUCCUUUGCGGAAAAUAUUAGUCCGAUUGUUCGAGUGGAAUCGCUGGAGGACGUGCGAAAAUGAUUAACGGGGAGCGCCACAAGGGAAAGAAACGUCAGGUGUUUGAAUAUGGUUAAACAAGUUCGAGUGAGUCGAACCGUUACACUCGGCAGGCAAAGGUUUUAAUGAGUUACUUUGUUGCUUUGAUAUUGAAGAGAUAUUGAACGGAUUGAGACAACGGCCAAGAUCAGUAUAUAAAGCGAUUUUUUCCAUUGGAAUGUCACAUCUACGCGAAAUUUCCUUCACGAAAGGUCUGACUGUGAGAAAUUGUGCUUGGAGAUUCAUCGUUUCUACAUUCCACUCCGCUACAGUUGCAAAUCCGUUCACAUCUGUCAAUUAAUUCGCCAUGCGUUCUUCACUGUUCUUUCUCAUGGUUCUGGCUGUGUUUGCAGUAAAAAGCGUGUAUACAGUUGAGUAUGGUCAUGAACAAUGUAGGCAGCAUGGUUAUGUAGGAGCGUGUAACUACAAUGGAAUUUCAGUGGUACGAAGGGACGAAAGGUGCCAAAAUUUCAAAUGUGCUUCUCAAAUAUCAGGGAAUACAUAUAGAUACAAGGGCAUUGGACCCGCUGCGAUUGGGACCAAGUGUGGUCCGAAUCAUAUUUGUAAUAUAGAGAACAGGUGUGUAGCUGACUCUAACGCAGAACGGUCACAUUAUUUGAAUUGUUCUUAAAAGAGUUCAGAAACGACGGUCAAGAGACGGCAUCGUAUAUGAAAGUUUGCCCGGUGUAUUUGUUAUUCUGUUGACCGCACAAGCGACUACUCAUUUUUGAUGGAUUUUUAAUCGUAUAUUUAUUCAAUGUUUUUUCUAAUCGAGAGUCGUGAAAUAAAAAAAAAAAAAAAAAAACUGAAUGUGCUGUAAUUUGAGUAAUUUUGUCGUCGACGCGGCGCCUAAUUUUUUCCCUCAAAAACGAGCUCCAUUUAAACAACAGGAAAAAAUUGUCGUAUUUCAAUUUUCACAGUACAUUCCUAACAUAGUAGAGGACAUUGAAAUAGGCGGGAAUAGCAGUCCGAAGAUCCUCAAUGGUUACUAUUGGUUGAAAAAUAUUUCGAUAUUCUUACCAUCUUGAGAUCAGUCAAAAGAGUAACAAUUCCCGUUCUUGAUUCGUUCACUCAAUUUUUCCGUAAGCAUUCGUUCGUACAGCAGCGCAUUCUGUGCAGCGAUUGUUCAUGUUUACGAUUUCAAAUGAAUGUAGUCGAUACUAACGGGGACCCCUGAAACUCAACCGAAUAAAGUUUGCCGAUUUUUCGUCAGCAGUA